rnacentral:RNase_P_RNA from 21 species
GAAGCUGACCAGACAGUCGCCGCUUCGUCGUCGUCCUUUCGGGGAGACGGGCGGAGGGGAGGAAAGUCCGGGCUCCAUAGGGCAGGGUGCCAGGUAACGCCUGGGGGGGAAACCCACGACCAGUGCAACAGAGAGCAAACCGCCGAUGGCCCACGUAAGUGGGAUCAGGUAAGGGUGAAAGGGUGCGGUAAGAGCGCACCGCGCGGCUGGUAACAGUCCGUGGCACGGUAAACUCCACCCGGAGCAAGGCCAAAUAGGGGUUCAUAAGGUACGGCCCGUACUGAACCCGGGUAGGCUGCUUGAGCCAGUGAGCGAUCGCUGGCCUAGAUGAAUGACUGUCCACGACAGAACCCGGCUUAUCGGUCAGUUUCACUU